UACGGAGGGUGCGAGCGUUGUCCGGAAUCACUGGGCGUAAAGGGCGCGUAGGCGGCCGUGUAAGUCACUUGUGAAAUCCCGGGGCUCAACUCCGGGGCUGCAGGUGAGACUGCGUGGCUAGAGCACGGUAGAGGCGAGUGGAAUUCCCGGUGUAGCGGUGGAAUGCGUAGAUAUCGGGAAGAACACCGGUGGCGAAGGCGGCUCGCUGGGCCGUUGCUGACGCUGAGGCGCGAAAGCUAGGGGAGCGAACGGG
rnacentral:rRNA from 1 species